UUGAACGCUGGCGGCAGGCCUCACACAUGCCAGUCGAACGGUAACAGGAAGCAGCUUGCUGCUUCGCUGACGAGUGGCGGACGGGUGAGUAAUGUCUGGGAAGCUGCCUGAUGGAGGGGGAUAACUACUGGAAACGGUAGCUAAUACCGCAUAAUGUCGCAAGACCAAAGAGGGGGACCUUCGGGCCUCUUGCCAUCGGAUGUGCCCAGAUGGGAUUAGCUUGUUGGUGGGGUAACGGCUCACCAAGGCGACGAUCCCUAGCUGGUCUGAGAGGAUGACCAGCCACACUGGGACUGAGACACGGUCCAGACUCCUACGGGAGGCAGCAGUGGGGAAUAUUGCACAAUGGGCGCAAGCCUGAUGCAGCCAUGCCGCGUGUAUGAAGAAGGCCUUCGGGUUGUAAAGUACUUUCAGCGGAGAGGAAGGGAGUAAAGUUAAUACCUUUGCUCAUUGACGUUACCCGCAGAAGAAGCACCGGCUAACUCCGUG
rnacentral:rRNA from 1 species